rnacentral:misc_RNA from 1 species
AAUGCAUCACUCCAGUUGCAAUCAUGACAAGUGCAGCAAAAAGCAAUCAUGAGCAUGUCACCACACUCUGUGAGGAACUCUGCUGGUUCGGAAGGGGAAGAUCAAAGUUCAAACUUUUCGAGCAGCCUCUUGUUCCAGCUGUUAGUGCAGAAGAUGGGCAGUGGUUGGCUGGUAGAGCAUUCAAACCUGUAUGCAAGCCAGGUGGUCAUGGGGUGAUCUGGAAACUUGCUUAUAGUGAAGGUGUUUUCCAGUGGUUUCACGAUCACGGAAGACGAGGUGCAACCGUGCGACAAGUCAGUAAUGUUGUGGCAGCGACAGAUGUGACUCUUUUGGCUUUAGCUGGAAUUGGUUUGCGUCAAGGAAAGAAACUGGGCUUUGCUUCGUGUAAGCGAAAUGCUGGUGCUACUGAAGGCAUAAAUGUUCUAAUUGAGAAGAAGAAUCUUGAGGGGAAAUGGACUUGUGGUAUAUCCUGCAUAGAAUAUACUGAGUUUGACAAGUUUGGGAUGACAG